rfam:Jatropha curcas cultivar GZQX0401 C18383808_1, whole genome shotgun sequence.
GGUUUUUUAACUUAAUAGGUAAAGUGCAUUUUUGAUAAGAAUGUUAUUCAAGUUCGAUUCUUGAAAAAAUCA